rnacentral:rRNA from 1 species
UGGGGAAUAUUGCACAAUGGGCGGAAGCCUGAUGCAGCGACGCCGCGUGGGGGAUGAAGGCCUUCGGGUUGUAAACUCCUUUCGACAGGGACGAAGCUUUUGUGACGGUACCUGUAUAAGAAGCACCGGCUAACUACGUGCCAGCAGCCGCGGUAAUACGUAGGGUGCGAGCGUUGUCCGGAAUUACUGGGCGUAAAGAGCUCGUAGGUGGUUUGUCGCGUCGUCUGUGAAAUUCCGGGGCUUAACUCCGGGCGUGCAGGCGAUACGGGCUGACUUGAGUGCUGUAGGGGAGACUGGAAUUCCUGGUGUAGCGGUGAAAUGCGCAGAUAUCAGGAGGAACACCGAUGGCGAAGGCAGGUCUCUGGGCAGUAACUGACGCUGAGGGGCGAAAGCAUGGGUAGCGAACAGGAUUAGAUACCCUGGUAGUCCAUGCCGUAAACGGUGGGCGCUAGGUGUAGGGGGCUUCCACGUCUUCUGUGCCGUAGCUAACGCAUUAAGCGCCCCGCCUGGGGAGUACGGCCGCAAGGCUA